UGCCUGCCACAGUAGAGGACCGUGCUGGGGCAGCCACAUCUGAUCUACCUCUGCCGCCACUGUGGUUGAGUGUGUACAGAAUUUCAUUAUUGCAAAGGAUUAUUUGAAACUGAAUAUGGUGGCUGUUGACAAAGUGCACCAUUUAUUAUCAAAUAUUCAAUUAAUUUCUUUUUAGUUUUCCAAUAAAAACUAGUUCAAGUAUUGAAUAAUUAUUAUCCUGCUUGUUGCCAUUUUUUCUCUCUUGUUGGUGUCGUUGGAUUUCGAAAAAGAAAUGUUGUAUAUGUGUGUGUGUGUGUAUAUAUAUAUAUAUAUAAAUAUCAAACUAAUGGAAAACCCUUUUUGAAGCUACCCACUAACCAGAGUAAGUAAAAGAACACAACGGGCAAAACUCUCAACCUUUACGCUGACAGAUGACGGGACGUAUUCAUCUGACAAUUUCUCCUGCACCCGGCUUGGGGAAGAGGAAGAGCUGACACGAAAAAAAAAGAAAAAAGAAAAGACUUUCUUUUCUCUUAUUCGUUCCCCUCC
rnacentral:lncRNA from 1 species